rnacentral:rRNA from 1 species
UCUGAACCUUCGGGGAACGAUAACGGCGUCGAGCGGCGGACGGGUGAGUAAUGCCUGGGAAAUUGCCCUGAUGUGGGGGAUAACUAUUGGAAACGAUAGCUAAUACCGCAUAANGUCUACGGACCAAAGAGGGGGACCUUCGGGCCUCUCGCUUCAGGAUAUGCCCAGGUGGGAUUAGCUAGUUGGUGAGGUAAUGGCUCACCAAGGCGACGAUCCCUAGCUGGUCUGAGAGGAUGAUCAGCCACACUGGAACUGAGACACGGUCCAGACUCCUACGGGAGGCAGCAGUGGGGAAUAUUGCACAAUGGGCGCAAGCCUGAUGCAGCCAUGCCGCGUGUAUGAAGAAGGCCUUCGGGUUGUAAAGUACUUUCAGUCGUGAGGAAGGCNAUAUAGUUAAUAGCUAUAUUGUUUGACGUUAGCGACAGAAGAAGCACCGGCUAACUCCGUGCCAGCAGCCGCGGUAAUACGGAGGGUGCGAGCGUUAAUCGGAAUUACUGGGCGUAAAGCGCAUGCAGGUGGUUUGNUUAAGUCAGAUGUGAA